rnacentral:tRNA from 1 species
AGAUUCGUAGUGUAAUGGUAGCACAGCAGAUUUUGGUUCUGUUAGUUAGGGUUCAAAUCCCUGCGAAUCUG